UACGUAGGGUGCGAGCGUUGUCCGGAAUUAUUGGGCGUAAAGGGCUCGUAGGCGGUUUGUCGCGUCGGGAGUGAAAACCUUGGGCUUAACUCAGGGCUUGCUUUCGAUACGGGCAGACUAGAGGUAUGCAGGGGAGAACGGAAUUCCUGGUGUAGCGGUGAAAUGCGCAGAUAUCAGGAGGAUCACCGAUGGCGAAGGCAGUUCUCUGGGCCGUAACUGACGCUGAGGAGCGAAAGCGUGGGGAGCGAACAGG
rnacentral:rRNA from 1 species